UUCUUAGACAUGUUUUGAUACAGUUGUGACACAGUUUUCUCACAGUAUUUUAGCAUGGUUUUGAGAUACGCAACGCAUGGUUUUAUUAUGUUAUACUCAGUUUUAUGAUUUUUAGUUAUAGUAAAAAUGAAAUUUUCGGGUCGUAUUUUUGGGACGUUUCAAGUUGGUAUCAGAGCCUUGGUUUGAGGGAUUUGGAUACACUUCUGGGUGUAUCUGAACUCAAACUAAGGGAAAGAUAAAAAGAUUUUCAAAAGGAAAAUGUUUUCGAAAGAAAUUUUGAAAAACACUUGGAAAGAAAAGAAUUUUUAAACAAGAUAAGGGUGUGGUGCUUGCGAUCAGCCGAGCUCAAGUAAGUACUCCCAAAUUACCCAUACAAGUUUCAGUUUCAGUCCAGUUUCAGUAGAACAUCAUGCUAGUAUAGGACUAAGGAUCUAGGAGGAUGCCUUAUGUGCCUGCUAUAUGUGUUUCAGCUUAUUGAGAAUUGCAUGCUAGUAUUGAGUAGACAGCAGUAGGAUAGCCUGUUUAGGUUAUGCCUGAUAGUAUGAGUUUAGCAUUGUAUGCUAGUACAGUUUUCUCGUUAUGAGGAUAAAAUUGCUUGAAUAGUUUCUUGUGUCCGUAUGCUAGUACAGUUUUCUCGUUAUGAGGAUAGAAUUGCUUGAAUAGUUUCUUGUGUCCGAAUGCUGCUUGCUUUGUGCUUUGUGGGACUCUGAGUGAUGGGAGUUACCCAUUAGGUGAGUACGUCACGUCACAUGUGAUCAGGGUUGAAUAAUCUCAGAGUGUUGGGUUUGGCCCUAUUGCGCAGCUCUUGUUUGAGUCCAACCGUUGUAGGGACGAGCCUUUUACUCGAAGGAUUAUCUGAGCCUCAUCACAUGUGAUGGUAUUCAGGUGGUGGCUAAUUGGCAUUACAAGGAGGCCUUCAGCAGCUGAGGACUGGUUUGAGUGGAGUCAGAGAUUUCCCUAGGGCAAGCCUAGGAUGAGAGUAGCAGAGAUCAGUAGUAGUAGAAGUGACUUGGUGGAGUCAAGGCAGUUCUUGAGGAAAGUACGGAUAGAUGUGGAAGGUAGUAUGGGCCCGUACUACUGAAAGCAGAGGAUCCGUACUCGAAUCAAGGAAGGCCG
rnacentral:lncRNA from 1 species